rnacentral:tRNA from 1 species
GGCGUCGUAGCUCAGUCUGGUUAGAGCGCUGCCCUGUCAAGGCAGAGGCCGCGGGUUCAAGUCCCGUCGACGCCGCCA